rnacentral:rRNA from 1 species
AUUGAACGCUGGCGGCAUGCCUUACACAUGCAAGUCGAACGGCAGCACGGGAGCAAUCCUGGUGGCGAGUGGCGAACGGGUGAGUAAUAUAUCGGAACGUGCCCGGUCGUGGGGAUAACGUAGCGAAAGCUACGCUAAUAUCGCAUACGAUCUACGGAUGAAAGCGGGGGAUCACAAGACCUCGCGCGAUUGGAGCGGCCGAUAUCAGAUUAGGUAGUUGGUGAGGUAAAGGCUCACCAAGCCGACGAUCUGUAGCUGGUCUGAGAGGACGACCAGCCACACUGGACUGAGACACGGCCCAGACUCCUACGGAGGCAGCAGUGGGAAUUUUGGACAAUGGGCGCAAGCCUGAUCCAGCAAUGCCGCGUGCAGGAUGAAGGCCU